rnacentral:rRNA from 1 species
ACGCUCGACACCUACGGGAGGCAGCAGUGGGGAAUAUUGCACAAUGGGGGAAACCCUGAUGCAGCGACGCCGCGUGGAGGAAGAAGGUCUUCGGAUUGUAAACUCCUGUUGUUGGGGAAAAAGAGGAUGGUACCUAACAAGGAAGUGACGGCUAACUACGUGCUAGCAGCCGCGGUAAUCUGAGCGGGCUGGCAAGGC